GCGAUCAUAGCUCAGUUGGUUAGAGCGCUGGUUUGUGGUACCAGAAGUCGCGGGUUCGAGUCCCGUUGUUCGCC
rnacentral:tRNA from 1 species